rnacentral:rRNA from 1 species
AUUGAACGCUGGCGGCAGGCCUAACACAUGCAAGUCGAACGGUAACAGGAAACAGCUUGCUGUUUCGCUGACGAGUGGCGGACGGGUGAGUAAUGUCUGGGAAACUGCCUGAUGGAGGGGGAUAACUACUGGAAACGGUAGCUAAUACCGCAUAACGUCGCAAGACCAAAGAGGGGGACCUUCGGGCCUCUUGCCAUCGGAUGUGCCCAGAUGGGAUUAGCUAGUAGGUGGGGUAACGGCUCACCUAGGCGACGAUCCCUGGCUGGUCUGAGAGGAUGACCAGCCACACUGGAACUGAGACACGGUCCAGACUCCUACGGGAGGCAGCAGUGGGGAAUAUUGCACAAUGGGCGCAAGCCUGAUGCAGCCAUGCCGCGUGUAUGAAGAAGGCCUUCGGGUUGUAAAGUACUUUCAGCGGGGAGGAAGGGAGUAAAGUUAAUACCUUUACUCAUUGACGUUACCCGCAGAAGAAGCACCGGCUAACUCCGUG